rfam:Homo sapiens chromosome 2, GRCh38 reference primary assembly.
AAAUCAUAUCACUAUUCUUAUCAGUUUAAUAUCUGAUGUGUCCUCUAUUUGGGCAUAAUAUAUAAAAUAAAUUUUUGGAGAAGGGAGAUACAAUAGGAGCUUGUUCCAUCUACUCCAUGCAGUAACCUGGUAUUGCAGUACCUCCAGGAAUGGUGCAACUUCC